AUUGAACGCUGGCGGCAGGCUUAACACAUGCAAGUCGAGCGGGGUGAUGGUGCUUGCACUAUCACUUAGCGGCGGACGGGUGAGUAAUGCUUAGGAAUCUGCCUAUUAGUGGGGGACAACAUCUCGAAAGGGAUGCUAAUACCGCAUACGUCCUACGGGAGAAAGCAGGGGAUCACUUGUGACCUUGCGCUAAUAGAUGAGCCUAAGUCGGAUUAGCUAGUUGGUGGGGUAAAGGCCUACCAAGGCGACGAUCUGUAGCGGGUCUGAGAGGAUGAUCCGCCACACUGGGACUGAGACACGGCCCAGACUCCUACGGGAGGCAGCAGUGGGGAAUAUUGGACAAUGGGGGGAACCCUGAUCCAGCCAUGCCGCGUGUGUGAAGAAGGCCUUUUGGUUGUAAAGCACUUUAAGCGAGGAGGAGGCUUACCUGGUUAAUACCUGGGAUAAGUGGACGUUACUCGCAGAGUAAGCACCGGCUAACUCUGUGCCAGCCGCCGCCGUAA
rnacentral:rRNA from 1 species